ACAUCUCGGCGAGCACCACACUUCACCAGCUUGGAGCAGGCGGCGUAUCAACCUUUGUGGUUGGUCAUUUGCAUCCGCGUGUGCAGCAGGGUGCUUUGGGCGUGGCGGUCGGGGGAGCUCUGCAGCACUUGGCUGUUUUUUUGGGGUGUGGCUCGUCUUCGUGCCCUUGUUGCCUGGUGUCUGGAUGCCUGGCGCCCGCCCUGCUGUGAUGCCCUGUGAGUGCUGAUCCUGGGCAGCUAUGCAGUUGCUGGGUGAUCCUGGCUGGUUCCGCCUGGUGUCUCAGCGCAGCCAAGACACCAGGGGCCAACGCCAGCCAUACAGCACGCUAGCGGGGUCCAGCCGGCGGAAGGCG
rnacentral:lncRNA from 1 species